rnacentral:rRNA from 1 species
UACGAAGGGGGCGAGCGUUGUUCGGAAUCACUGGGCGUAAAGGGCGCGUAGGCGGCCCUUCUUGUCGCGUGUGAAAGCCCCGGGCUCAACCUGGGAACGGCGCGCGAGGCGGGAGGGCUGGAGUUCGGGAGAGGAACGUGGAAUUCCCAGUGUAGAGGUGAAAUUCGUAGAGAUUGGGAAGAACACCAGUGGCGAAGGCGGCUAGUCUGGACGGUUCUGACGCUAGACGCGAAAGCGUGGGAGCAACAGG